UACGUAGGGUGCGAGCGUUGUUCGGAGUUACUGGGCGUAAAGCGCGCGUAGGCGGUGCGGUAAGUCAGGGGUUAAAGGCUGCAGCUCAACUGCAGUAAGGCCUUUGAUACUAUCGCGCUAGAGUACCAGAGAGGAUGGCGGAAUUCCCGGUGUAGCGGUGAAAUGCGUAGAUAUAUGGAGGAACACCGGUGGCGAAAGCGGCUCUCUGGACUGUAACUGACACUGAGGCUCGAAAGCGUGGGGAGCAAACAGG
rnacentral:rRNA from 1 species